GGAUGCGAUCAUACCACCACUAAAGCACCGGAUCCCAUCAGUACUCCGUAGUUAAGCGUGCUUGGGCGAGAGUAGUGCUAGGAUGGAUUACCUCCUAGGAAGUCCUUGUGUUGCAUUCC
rfam:Triticum aestivum genome assembly, contig: Triticum_aestivum_CS42_TGACv1_scaffold_397548_5AS